rnacentral:rRNA from 1 species
CAGUCGAACGAAGCACUUUACCUGAUUUCCUUCGGGGAUGAUUGUUCUGUGACUGAGUGGCGGACGGGUGAGUAACGCGUGGAUAACCUGCCUCACACAGGGGGAUAACAGUUGGAAACGACUGCUAAUACCGCAUAAGCGCACAGCACCGCAUGGUGCAGUGUGGAAAACUCCGGUGGUGUGAGAUGGAUCCGCGUCUGAUUAGCUUGUUGGCGGGGUAACGGCCCACCAAGGCGACGAUCAGUAGCCGGCCUGAGAGGGCGACCGGCCACAUUGGGACUGAGACACGGCCCAGACUCCUACGGGAGGCAGCAGUGGGGAAUAUUGCACAAUGGGGGAAACCCUGAUGCAGCGACGCCGCGUGAGCGAUGAAGUAUUUCGGUACGUAAAGCUCUAUCAGCAGGGAAGAUAAUGACGGUACCUGACUAAGAAGCUCCGGCUAAAUACGUGCCAGCAGCCGCGGUAAUACGUAUGGAGCAAGCGUUAUCCGGAUUUACUGGGUGUAAAGGGAGCGUAGGCGGUCCUGCAAGUCUGAUGUGAAAGGCCGGGGCUCAACCCCGGGACUGCAUUGGAAACUGUAGGACUAGAGUGUCGGAGGGGUAAGUGGAAUUCCUAGUGUAGCGGUGAAAUGCGUAGAUAUUAGGAGGAACACCAGUGGCGAAGGCGGCUUACUGGACGACUACUGACGCUGAGGCUCGAAAGCGUGGGGA